GAAAUAUUGAGGGUGGGUACAACAACUCAAAAAAUUUUCUGCUCUGACCACCAAGGCGUUAACUGGUCUGAGCCCCCGUGGACAUAAGUAUCACCUAGAAUCUGUCCCUGACUCAUUCUGGGCACCUGCUAGGGCCCAGAUAUGUGCACCUUCACUUCGAGCUCUGACUCAAGUCUUUGGAAAUAGCUGCAGGGUUUUUUUUCCCCUUCUCUCAAACAUUUCUACACACUAUCUCAAACUCUGAGAACACUGUGCUGUGUCUGGGAACUUAUUUCUAACUGGUUUCUUCCCCCAGAGGCCACAGCACGGAGAGGCACGACUGCUCACUUAUCCAUCACUUAUCCAUCAUGUUAAAGAUUAUCUCGCAGGUUACUCUGUGGAAGGUGACACGGGCCCCCAGUGAACAUCAGUGUCCCCAUGUGCAGUCUGCACAAGGCAACUCAGCAGGGAGAGAGAGGUCCUUGUCUGCUGGCCCCGAGUGGGUGCCUGAGGAGCCACGUGAUGGGAGGAGGGGUCACUCCGGUAAGUCCUGCUCUGAGCUCUGCAUGUGUGCCCCGUGGCAUGCUGCACCCUCUGAUUCGCC
rnacentral:lncRNA from 1 species